GUUUAGCUCAGUCGGUAGAGCAUGAGACUCUUAAUCUCAGGGCCAUGGUUUUGAGCCCCAUGUUAGGCA